UUUCCGUAGGUGAACCUGCGGCAGGACCAUUAAAAAAUGCCCCGUUUUUCGAAAUGGGUUCUAUUCACAAACCGUGUCUACAUACCUUUGUUGCUUUGGCGGGACGCCUUCGGGCGUUGGCCUCGGCUAACUGUGCCCGCCAGAGGACCCAAACUCGUUUUGUUUAGUGAUGUUUGAGUACUAAAAAAUAGUUAAAACUUUCAACAACGGAUCUCUUGGUACUGGCAUCGAUGAGGAACGCAGC
rnacentral:misc_RNA from 1 species